rnacentral:rRNA from 1 species
GCGCAGCAGUCGCGAAAACUCUGCAAUACGCGAAAGCGUGACAGGGCUACCCCGAGUGUCGUCCGCUGAGGACGACUUUUCCACGCUGUAAGGAGGCGUGGGACUAAGGAGAGGGCAAGUCUGGUGUCAGCCGCCGCGGUAAUACCAGCUCUCCGAGUGGUAGGGACGUUUAUUGGGCUUAAAGCGUCCGUAGCCGGCUCAACAAGUCUCCCGUUAAAUCCAACGAUUCAAUCGUUGGACUGCGGGAGAUACUGCAGGGCUAGGAGGCGAGAGAGGCCGACGGUAUUCCCAGAGUAGGAGUGAAAUCUUAUAAUGCCGGGAGGACCACCAGUGGCGAAGGCUGUCGGCUAGAACGCGCUCGACGGUGACGGACGAAAGCUGGGGGAGCGAACCGGAUUAGAUACCCCCGGAGUCC